CACACACACACACACACACACACACACACAUAUACACACAUAAAUGAGUACUGAGAUAUGAGAAAAAGGGAAUCGGCAAUGGUGGUGGCGGUGGCGGUGGCGGGAUCUGCUUAUAUCUGUUGUGGCGGAGGGAGGAGGAGGCGGUGAGAGGCGACGAAGGAGGAGGUGGUGAGAGGUGAUCCAACUACGGAGGAGGAGACGACGAAGCCAUCGCCGACUGCGGAGAAGGAGACAACGACGCCGUUGCCGACUACGCUAUCGGAGGAGGAGGAGAAGGAGAGAAAAGAGAGAGUGAGAGAAGAGAGAGUGAGAGAUAGACAGAUCAGAGGGGAGAGUGAGAGAGACAUAUCAGAGGAGAGAGUGAGAGGAGAGAGAGAUAGAUCUGAGGGAAAUUAAUAAAGGGUAUUAUGGUAAUUUUAUUUCGGGGAGAAACGGGACCGAGGAUGGGGCCGGGACUUUGAAAGUUAUCCCCGUCUUUGGCUCAAAAUUGAUUGGAGAUUCAAUUUUAAAUACCAUCUCCGGCCCAUCAAGAAUAUUUUUCGAGAAAAAAUCACUCUUAUCAAGAAUAGGGGUCGGGUCUCCGUCGGGUCAGGUUUAAAUUACCAUCUGCACUAACGACGUGCUGCCUGUGUGGAAAAUGAUGCAAAGUCGUCCAUUUCUCUCUCUUUUUUAUUCAUUUCAAAUUUCAAAUUCAUGUUCACAAUUGAAGUCUCUCGCUUUCUAUUCUUCCUUCUCUUCUCUGUUGUGACUCUCUUUGGCGACCUCCCCGACGAGCGCAGCUCUCCAACACCGGCGACCCGACGAGCACAGCUCUCCAACCCUGGCGACAAUCGAGGUUGAACGCAGCUUCUACAACCCCAGCGACCGGAUGAGCGGAGCUACUGACGACAACGAGAGUCACUCACGACGACCAACGACGAUCGAGUCUGUCUCCGUCUUCCCACCGGACUCACUUCUCUCGAUCUCCAUAGAGUGAAAAACAACAAAUUCUUCGACGGAUUUAAGUUCAACAUUGUUGUCAGGUGAUGCCCCAAAUCCAUAAUCUUUCGAUAUACAUGCAAAUCCCUUAAAUUCUCAGUCCUCUUUGUUAUAUAUAUAUAUAUAUAUAUAUAUAUAUUUUUUUUCACAUUCCCAUUAGAUAUAGCUAUUGUCUUUCUUAUUUAUUCAUUUAUUCGUCUUCUCUAAUUUAUUAUUAUUUUUAUUUUUUUAACUGCUUGCCUUUUUGCUUCGUUUUCAUUUUUGUUUUCCCUUGAAAUUCUGGAUGCAUUUUUACCAAUAAGAGAUUUUGUGUUAUAAAAAAGGGAAAAUGGAAGAUAAAGUACACAUACCCAAGAAAAAAGAAAAGGAAAAGAAGAUAUAUCACAAAAUAAUUAUAACAGAAGAUCCUAAUCUGGUGGGCUUGAAAGAUGCAAGCUUGUCAUGAACAAUUGCAUUUUUUGGAUAUUUAGGAAGUGGGUAUCUGGACAGUUAAUUGUAGAUGAAAUUGUGGCAAAGAACUCUUUGAAGUUUGAUUUUUGACAGAAUUUUUGGUUACAGCAUUGAUACGGUCAACCAUAUUCAUGGACGAAUUAACCAAACGCGUUAUGAAUUAAUCCAAACUUUAGAUACAUCUUUUACUCAUUUCCUCUCCCCCAAACAAUCCACUAUUGACUCAUCAAUCUGACUCGUUUAACUCAGUAGAAGUUGGGAGUUCACAUUGAGUAAAACAGGUUCUGGAUUUCUGGUUAUGGAAUCAAUCAAUCAAUCAAAGAACGAGGAAGAAGAAGAAGAAGUGUUUGGAUUGGAGUUUUGUUUGACCCAUCCUGGGUUUCUCUUUCUAUAUCUACACAUAUUUAUAUAUAUAUAUAUAUAUAUAUGCUUUGUGCUAUAAAUUUUUGUGUUUUAAUCUUAAUGUUGUCUCAGAUUCUCUGUUUCAUUGUUCUGCAAUCACUGUCUGUGUUUGAGCUAGAUAAAAUUUUUAGGGUUUUUAUUAAAAUUUGUAGAUUGAAUGAGAAUUAGCUGUUAAGGAUAAAGAAGCUAUGGAUUUGGGAAUGAUGAAGUAGAAAAUUGCACUGGUGGGUUAAUUUUGUUUAUUACUAAUGUAGCUAGUUAUCUAUUUUUAAGAACCUUUUUUUGUCUUUGAUAUAACAGAGCAAAUUUAUGAACAUAGUAGCGAAGCCAAUGGAAACUUUUGGUGGACUAAUUUGAAGAAAAGGAAAUGCAAACCCUUCAUUAAUUUUUUCUGUUUAAUUUGAUUCUAAAUUUGAGUAAAAAACUUGAUUUGAUACAAACUACUCCAAGCUUUUCUUCAAAAUCAAAAUCUUUUUAAAAAUUCCCCUCUUACCUCAAUUUCCCCUUUUCAUUAGAUUUGAUGGGGGAAAAUCAUCUCCAAUGCUUUGUCUUUUUAAAUUUUCAUCAAAUUUAAGUUUAAUGAAUUCUCAAAAAAAAAAAAUGACUUCCUUGAUUUGAUGAACAUUUGAUGAAAGGAUUGGAGAUGAUUUUUGAGCACUUUUUUAUCAAAUUCUGAAUGGUUCUUUUUAGGAGAUCGAAAUGGUAGGAAAAGGUGCAAGUUUUAUGAUAUAACCUUUUAAUAGAAAAAAUGAUUUUAUCCUGUGGCAAGAAAGGGUGAAAAACAUUCUAACACGGGAGGGUUUGGUGAAAGCUCUCAACAAGAAGUCCAACAAACCGGCAGACAUAAGGGAUGACAAGUGGGAAGAGUUGAGAGAAUUGGCAAAUAGCACGAUCCAGUUAUAUUUCGGGAAUAACACACUCUGAGAAGUCAUCAAUGAAGAAUAUCCGACAAAGCUUUGGGCAAAGUUGGAAAUGAGAUAGAAGUCAAAGUCCUUGACAAAUCAGUUGUCUUUGAAGAAGCAGUUGUAUGCACUUCAAAUGAUAGAAGGACCAAACCUUACAAAACAUCUGAACAAGUUUAACAGGCUCACAUUGGAGUUGGAUUCCAUCGGGGUGAAGAUCGAGAAGGAAGAUCAGGCUAUUAUCUUGCUGGUCUCCUUACCUUCAUCAUAUGAGCAUCUCAGGACUACUCUAAUAUACGGAAAGGAUACUCUUGGACUAGAUGAGGUGGUUGCUACGCUUAUUUCUUAUGCGACGAUGAAGAAAAAGGAAAGCGGCAAGCACCUAGAGGGAAAUGCCAUGGUUGCCUUAGAAAAUGAUCAGGGCAGAGGUAGGUCCAAUGAUAGAUGGAG